GUAACUCUGGAGAAACUCGAAAACGAGUGCCGAAGGUGCAAGGCGGGGCGGCGUGUCCCGUUAAUCUCUCAGGCAAAAGGACAGAGGAAA
rnacentral:ncRNA from 1 species